rnacentral:rRNA from 1 species
UACGGGAGGCAGCAGUGGGGAAUAUUGCACAAUGGGCGCAAGCCUGAUGCAGCCAUGCCGCGUGUAUGAAGAAGGCCUUCGGGUUGUAAAGUACUUUCAGUCGUGAGGAAGGUGUUAAGGUUAAUAACCUUAGCAAUUGACGUUAGCGACAGAAGAAGCACCGGCUAACUCCGUGCCAGCAGCCGCGGUAAUACGGAGGGUGCGAGCGUUAAUCGGAAUUACUGGGCGUAAAGGGCACGCAGGCGGUUAAUUAAGUUGGAUGUGAAAUCCCCGGGCUUAACCUGGGAAUGGCAUUCAAGACUGGUUAGCUAGAGUCUUGUAGAGGGGGUAGAAUUCCGAUGUGUAGCGGUGAAAUGCGUAGAGAUGUGGAGGAAUACCGGCGGCGAAGGCGGCCCCUGGACAAAGACUGACGCUCAUGUGCGAAAGCGUGGGGAGCAAAC